AGGGUUUGAUCCUGGCUCAGGGUGAACGCUGGCGGCGUGCCUAACACAUGCAAGUCGAUCGGAGCAGCAAUGCUUAGAGGCGAACGGGUGAGGAAAACGUAGUAACCAACCCUUUAGACUGGGAUAGCCACUGGAAACGGUGGGUAAUACCGGAUAAGCUCGAGAGAGGAAAGGCAGAGAAGCGCUAAAGGACGGAACUGCGCCCCAUCAGAUAGUUGGUGAGGUAAAGGCUUACCAAGUCAAAGACGGGAAACCGACGUGAGAGCGUGUACGGUCACAAGGGCACUGAGAGACGGGCCCUACUCCUACGGGAGGCAGCAGUGGGGAAUAUUGGACAAUGGACGAAAGUCUGAUCCAGCGACGCCGCGUGGAGGAAGAAGUCCUUCGGGAUGUAAACUCAUGAAGCUAACGAAUAAGACGGAAGGGGAACCUUCCGGGAGAAGGUAAUUAGUGAAAAGCCCCGGCUAACUACGUGCCAGCAGCCGCGGUAAUACGUAGGGGGCGAGCGUUGCCCGGAAUUACUGGGCGUAAAGGGAACGUAGGUGGCUCUUAAAGUCAGGUGUGAAAAUAACGAAGCUUAACAGGUUAAUGCGCUUGAAACUAAAGGGCUUGAGGGCAAUAGAGGGAGAUGGAAUUACCUGUGUAGGGGUGAAAUCCGCAGAUAUAGGUAAGAAGGCCGGUGGGGAAGCCGAUCUCCUGGGUUGACUCUGACACUGAGGUUCGAAAGCUAGGGGAGCAAACCGGAUUAGAUACCCGGGUAGUCCUAGCCGUAAACGAUGCUCACUGGGUGUGGGUCGAAAAGAUCUGUGCUGAAGCUAACGCGAUAAGUGAGCCGCCUGGGGAGUACGUCCGCAAGGAUGAAACUCAAAGGAAUUGACGGGGGUCCGCACAAGCGGUGGAGCAUGUGGUUUAAUUCGAUGCUAACCGAAGAACCUUACCAGGGUUGGACAUUGUGAUGGUAGUUGGUAGAGAUAUCAGCGACUUCUGCGAAUGCAGAGGAGUUACAAUCAGGUGGUGCACGGUCGUCGUCAGCUCGUGCCGUGAGGUGUUGGGUUAAGUCCC
rnacentral:rRNA from 1 species